GUCUUUGCACUAAGUAGAAAAAAGGUCUUUUACUACCGUAAAAAGGCUCCAUGUAAUUAAAAAACCGGAGCAACAAAUCUAAAAGGCUCCGGUUUCAAAAAAACACCACCGAAGCAAUAAAUCGAAAAGGCUCCAGUUAAAAAAAAAACGGAGCAAUAUAUUUUUAUUUUAGGUUUAACGCUUCGCUUUCUCUACCUCUUUUGUUUCUCUCUUCACUCGUUCCUCUUUUCUUCUCUUAUUCACGUUCAAAUCUCCUUACUUUAUUUCUUUGUUUCUCUUAUCAUAGGUGCAAAUUCCUGUGUUUUUUCACUCGAUCUCCCUCAAAUACCUAGCAUUUAUGGUGAAUCAAGGCAUCAGUGGUCAUUUUCUCACUCCUUGGGAAACUUCGUCGAUUCGAUCAAGGUUUGCCAACGAAGAAUCUUGAAUACAUCUGCUGAUUUUGGUAAUUCAAGGGGUUAUGUGUCUCAUGGGCCUAUUCUAGCAAGCCCAAUUCCGAAAAAAGCAAUCAAACUUGGCAAUAACUUCUCUGGCUACUCCUUGUUCAAACAUCCUACUACCCAGGCCAACUUUCGCAAUGUAUGAUGCAGCUGCUACAUAUACAGGCCUUAAAGUCCAGCAAUAUGAUGAUCUUCCAGAAAGAGGAUGGGAAGUUGACAUGGACUCAGUUGAAGCUCUAGCAGAUAGCAAUACUGUUGCUGUUGUCGUAAUUAAUCCUGGAAAUCCUAGCGGAAGUGUCUAUACUCGCCAACAUUUACAGAAGAUCAUCAGACAUUUGGAUAGCUUAAGAGAUUACAUUCUAUUUGGAUAGCUUAAAAGGUGGCUUGUUCCUGGCUGGAGACUUGGCUGGCUUGUCACAAAUGAUCCAAGUGGCUUCCUGCAAAAAUCUCAGUUUCUGAGGGUACAGAUGUGCUGUACGAAGCUCAUGGAUGCUGUUUAUAAUGCUGUAGUGGAACAUGAUUAGUUUCUUUCAGCACUACUUGGUAGAAGCUUAGUGCAAGGAAUAGAAAUUGUUGAUUCCUUUAUAAAUCUUGAUGUAAUUUGCUGCAUAGUGAAUAAUUUGUUUUAUUAAUGUAUUAUCAACAGAACUUGCAAUGAGUUAUCGGUUCU